ensembl:lncRNA
CUUAGAUAAUGUAAAACUUAGUAGCAAUAAAACAAAAGUUAAGUUGAAAGCUUGAGGCUCAUUCAGAGGUAAUACUGGCAAAGAUCUAAUUCAUGGAAAAACUGAUAAGAUAUAUAAAGAAAAGAGAUAUUAAAGAAGACUUCUGGUGUUUUGAAUUAAGUGAAAAAUUAAAAGAGGUCUCAUUUUCAAUACCUGUUUCCAACAUCAUAAGAGGGUAAAAAUCAUAGAGAAGAAAAGAAUAUUUCCAUUUAUAUAAGCAGCUACUAAGUACAGAUAUGACACUGGGUGGUAUCUUAUUUAUAUUGUUCAAUUAGAGUUUUUAGAAAGCCUACGAAAAUAGGUGGUAACAUCCUAUGUUGCAGUAGAGAUGGGGGACUCCAGAACGAAGAAACUCGAUUUCUUGUCAAGUAUUUGGGAAGCUCAGUCACAGAGCCUACUUCCUGCUGGCUAAACGUCCAUACCAGGACUUGAUAAUUUCCUCUAAAUCAAUGAGGGCAGAGGAGAUGCCACCAUGAACAACGUUCCUGGGCACUGGUUUUACAUCUUCACAUUUUUGCUAUCUGCACAAAUAGCAUUUUGCUAUAAUCCCUUUCCUAAGAGGAAUAGAGUUUAGCAGUUUCUGAAUUAUCAUUGUGUAAAUUGAAUACUUUUUAUUUAAACUCAAUCCCUACAAAUUAUGGUGACACAUGAAUGCCUGUAUUAUGACCUGGACCCAGCAACAGAAGAAGAAACCAGAAAGGACAUUUAAAAUGUUUCUCCAAGAUGCAAACACAGUCUCUGCCUUGCUUUGGAGGUCACCUUACAUUGGCAUUGAUUCUCUCCCCCCCCCCCCAUUCUCCACCCCACCUCUUUUUGAGUUUUUAUUUGGAGGGAGGGAUGUUCCCUCCCAGUGUUGGAGAUCGAACCCAAGAAUCCAUACACAGUAAGAAAGCAUUCUAUCUCUGAUCUACAUCCCCAAUUAGCUUUAUCUUGGGGUAGUCUCACUCACACAAACUUAAAUACUCACAGAACUUCCCUCUGCUGCUACCUAAUCAAACACUACACCAUUUAUUACAAGCCCAAUAUGUGAAAAUAAUAGCUUGUACAUGAGUAGCAGACAGCAGAAAUAAUUUUUGUAAAAUAACAGUCAUCUCUAGAUUAUUCAUGGGAGCUUCUUCUUUUUAUAUCCUAUCAGUGACUCUGGAUAAUAUCCUUAAGCUAAUUUAAUUUUCCCUUUGGGCCUAGCCCAAUGGAGUGGUCAAAAAGAGGAUACACUAAGCCUGCAAUGAAGGAGCUCUAGAUCAGGGUGGGUGUUAAGAGAAAAGGAGCCCCUCCAAAUGUCAAUAUAAAUGCUGCAUAUUCCAAAUGUUUGGGCUGGAUUCAUGGAAUAUACAGUCUAAAAUAUAUUCAUGGACCAUAAUAAAGAGAGAAUUUCUAACAUUAUAGUAAGACUAAAACACUUUAUCAUUACUCUGCAGUUAUAGUUUAAAUUUUGUCUCCCCUCACCCUACACCCAACUUGUAUGUUGAAGUCCUAACCACCCCCCCAAUACCUUAGAAUAGGACUAUAUUUGGAGAUGGUGCUAUUACAGGGAAAAUUAAGGUAAAGUGAGAUCAGAUGGGCCAUAACCCAGUACAACUAGUGUCCUUAUAAAACAAGACUAGGACACAGAGGACUCACAGACUCAGGGGUAACUAUGUGAAGAGACCAUGAGAAGGCAGCCAUGGCAAGCUGCAAAGAGGCCUCCAAAGGAACCAAAUCUCCUAACACCUCUGCCUUGGACUUAUAUAUUCUCGAACUGUGAGAAAACAAACUUCUGUUGUUUAAGAUGCCCAGCCUGUGGAAUUAUGUUAUGACCGCCCCAACAAACUAAUUCA